rnacentral:rRNA from 1 species
UAAGGAAUAUUGGUCAAUGGACGCAAGUCUGAACCAGCCAUGCCGCGUGGAGGAUUAAGGCCCUCUGGGUUGUAAACUCCUUUUAUCUGGGAAGAAAUGUACUUUUUCUUGAGUACUUGACGGUACCAGAGGAAUAAGCACCGGCUAACUCCGUGCCAGCAGCCGCGGUAAUACGGAGGGUGCAAGCGUUAUCCGGAUUCACUGGGUUUAAAGGGUGCGUAGGUGGGCAGGUAAGUCAGUGGUGAAAUCCACGAGCUUAACUUGGGAACUGCCAUUGAUACUAUAUAUCUUGAAUACCGUAGAGGUAAGCGGAAUAUGUCAUGUAGCGGUGAAAUGCUUAGAUAUGACAUGGAACACCAAUUACGAAGGCAGCUUACUAUGCGGUGAUUGACACUGAGGCACGAAAGCGUGGGUAGCAAACA